CCUGCGCUGAAUAAACCCAUCUCUGGAUGACCUUGUGUGCUCCCUCACUUUCAUACUUAGGGUGGUUGGGGUCUUUCAUUAAUGCCGUGACUCAGAUUGGGCUCCCCUCACCCUCACUAGGUGAGGACCCCAAUCCGGACUCACCCCCACCGGCCCCAACUCGUCCCCAGUCCAUUUCCUUGGUUGCAGGACCCAUAUCCACCACGGGUCUUCAAUUGCCCCUGUAAUUGUGGCCUGUGUGAUCUAUGGAGGAGAGGAAUGACUUUGGGACCCCCAGCCAGGGAUGCUUCCGGUCCUUCGUGGAGGUGAUUCAGGAAGAUGCAUGGCUGUUCCCUGAACUCCUCAUCGUGUCCAGCUGGGAGCAGGCCCUUGAAGAACUAUGGUUACAAGGCACCUUCAUAGACUUCCCCCACAUCCCGAAAUCACCGGCUUUGGCAGGCGUCUACUGAUUUGGCUGAUAUUACUCACUGACUUAUUAACUUCUCUAUCCAGCCCUCUGCCCCCAACACUCCUCCUCCUACCCCACAAUGCCCCUGACUCAGCAGGAAUUAGCCAGAGGACUCGGUGUCCCUUACAUUUUAAUAAAUCAAAAAGGGAGGAAUGUUGGGCACAGAAUGAGGACAGGGCCAGGCCACCACCCCACAAUGGCCGCCGCCCCUAGGGCUCUAGGCUUCCGGCUUCUUCUUCCUGAUUAGGAGGAAAAGUCCACCAAAAGAGCCCCCCAAAAGACCGGUCACCUGCCCAGGAGCCCAAUAGGAAAUUAACAACAGGAACUUACCAUCACCCGGCCAAUUGUAACCACGCACAUUUCCCUCAGGGGCUAUGUAAGUCCCUAAACCACGCUGCUGCUGCUGCUGCUGCUGCUGCUGCUGCUGCUGCUGCUACUGCUGCUGCUGCAGACGCUUCCACCUCUACUGUAGCCUGCACUGAAUAAACCCAUCUCUGGACGA